CGCUUCACUCCUCUCAUAUUCUCUCACUCUCUCUCACUCUAUGCGUCGCUUCACUUCUCCAACCUGAAUUCUCCCUCCCUCCCUCCUUCCCUCCUUCCCUCCUUCCCUCAACCCUCCCUCACUUCUAAACUCCAUUUUCCGGCGACCUUCAGUGAACGAACGACACCGACGAAGAGCAACGAACAUUAUUGAAACAAAAUUUGCAAGUCUCUCAAAUUCUCGCUGAGGUUCACUCUCAAAUUCUCCUCUCUCACUCUUGCGAACGAACGAAUCAGAUUCCUCCCCCUUUGCUGCUCACCAACAGCGCAAACAAUAUCAAAGGAAGACGAAAAUUCGACGCGAACAAGAUCAAACUACAAACUUGUUUCCCAGAUCUGGAAUUUGUUCUUCUCGAAUUUGUCUCCCUCGAACACAUCGAAAAACGUCGCCAUUACAUUGUUCCUUUAUUAGAUUCAGUUUUAAUUUACUUUUUUUUUUUUUUACAUAUUUACAAUGUAAUUUAUUUUGUAUAUAUUGUAUAUAUUUUUUUACACGUGUUUGUAUCUAAUAUUUACAUAUUAAUGCAAAGAUUUGUUUGUAUAUAAUAUUUACAUAUCAAUGCAAAAAUAUUGCAAUUUUAAGUCA